AACGUAGGUGGCGAGCGUUAUCCGGAUUUACUGGGCGUAAAGGGUGUGCAGGCGGACUGUUAAGUGGUGCAUGAAAUCUCCGCGCUUAACGUGGAGAGGCUGUGCCAGACUGGCAGUCUAGAGUACGAGAGAGGGUUGUGGAAUUCCGGGUGUAGUGGUGAAAUGCGUAGAGAUCGGAGGAACACCAGAGGCGAAGGCGGCAACCUGGCUCGUAACUGACGCUCAUACACGACAGCAUGGGGAGCGAACGGGAUUAGACUACCCG
rnacentral:rRNA from 1 species